rnacentral:rRNA from 1 species
AACGAACGCUGGCGGCAGGCCUAACACAUGCAAGUCGAGCGCCCCAGCGAUGGGGAGCGGCGGACGGGUGAGUAACGCGUGGGAACGUACCCUUUGCUACGGAAUAGCCUCGGGAAACUGGGAGUAAUACCGUAUGUGCCCUUCGGGGAAAGAUUUAUCGGCAAAGGAUCGGCCCGCGUUGGAUUAGGUAGUUGGUGGGGUAAUGGCCUACCAAGCCGACGAUCCAUAGCUGGUUUGAGAGGAUGAUCAGCCACACUGGGACUGAGACACGGCCCAGACUCCUACGGGAGGCAGCAGUGGGGAAUCUUAGACAAUGGGCGCAAGCCUGAUCUAGCCAUGCCGCGUGAGCGAUGAAGGCCUUAGGGUUGUAAAGCUCUUUCAGGGGGGAAGAUAAUGACUGUACCCCCAGAAGAAGCCCCGGCUAACUCCGUG